CCUACGGGAGGCAGCAGUGAGGAAUAUUGGUCAAUGGGCGUAAGCCUGAACCAGCCAAGUCGCGUGAGGGAUGAAGGUUCUAUGGAUCGUAAACCUCUUUUAUAAGGGAAUAAAGUGCGGGACGUGUCCCGUUUGGUAUGUACCUUAUGAAUCAGGAACGGCUAACUCCGUGCCAGCAGCCGCUGUAAUACGGAGGAACCGAGCGUUAUCCGGAUUUAGUGGGUUUAAGGGGUGCGUAGGCGGCCUUUUAAGUCAGCGGUGAAAGUCUGUGGCUCAACCAUAGAAUUGCCGUUGAAACUGGGAGGCUUGAGUAUGUUUGAGGCAGGCGGAAUGCGUGGUGUAGCGGUGAAAUGCUUAGAUAUCACGCAGAACCCCGAUUGCGAAGGCAGCCUGCCAAGCCAUGACUGACGCUGAUGCACGAAAGCGUGGGGAUCAAACAGGAUUAGAUACCCUUGUAGUC
rnacentral:rRNA from 1 species